rnacentral:rRNA from 1 species
UACGAGGGGUGCAAGCGUUGCUCGGAAUUAUUGGGCGUAAAGGGUAGGUAGGUGGUCUCAUUUGUCUGGGGUGAAAGCCUCGAGCUUAACUCGAGAAGUGCCUCGGAAACGGUGAGACUAGAGUCUUGGAGAGGGUCGUGGAAUUCCCGGUGUAGCGGUGAAAUGCGUAGAGAUGCGGAGGAACACCGAUGGCGAAGGCAGCCCCCUGGGCUAACACUGACGCUCAGGCACGAAAGCGUGGGGAGCAAACAGG